rnacentral:rRNA from 1 species
AAUGAACGCUGGCGGCAGGCCUAACACAUGCAAGUCGAACGGAUCCUUCGGGAUUAGUGGCGGACGGGUGAGUAACACGUGGGAACGUGCCCUUUGGUUCGGAACAACUCAGGGAAACUUGAGCUAAUACCGGAUGUGCCCUUCGGGGGAAAGAUUUAUCGCCAUUGGAGCGGCCCGCGUCUGAUUAGCUAGUUGGUGAGGUAAAGGCUCACCAAGGCGACGAUCAGUAGAUGGUCUGAGAGGAUGAUCAGCCACAUUGGGACUGAGACACGGCACAAACUCCUACGGGAGGCAGCAGUGGGGAAUCUUGCGCAAUGGGCGAAAGCCUGACGCAGCCAUGCCGCGUGAAUGAUGAAGGUCUUAGGAUUGUAAAAUUCUUUCACCGGGGACGAUAAUGACGGUACCCGGGGAAGAAGCCCCGGCUAUCUUCGUGCCAGCAGCCGCCGUAA